AUCUUUUUUAUAGUGUUAAAGAAUUCAAAAAUUUUUUCUCAAUGAGGCCGACCAGCUGUACAACGAACGUAUGCACAUAACCGGAACCGUAGUACACGAGCGGCCGUCAUAUGGCUUAGGUGUCAAGGAACAAUUACAAUGAAAGAUUUUUAUACUUUACAUCAAGGAAAACAUAAAAUUUAAAUUUUUAUUUACUAAAAAUAUCGCAUACAUUUGUAUAAAAUUCAAUUAAAAAGUAAAAUCAUUUAAUAUAUUUUGAAAUAUACUUAAAAUGGAGCUGAACGCUAUCAGUAAUAUAACCAGACAAAUUUUUCUGAAUUGUUAAACGUACCUAAAAUGAACUUAAUAAACAAAAAGAGAAGGUCAAUAACGACUGUAGUUUAAGAAUUGCUCGCUUUUCGGAAGGAGAACUACAAACCCUAACAACUUUUCUGAUAAUGCCACUGCUCACUAAACAGUAAGAAGAAAAAACAGGAGAUCGGAUUAGCUCAAUCAUGAAAACCUAUUGAAUGUAUCCUAUUUAACAUACUGUCAUACAUGUAAAUAAACAAAGAUGUACUUACCAAAAAAAGGGAAAAUCCGGGUUCAUACACCUUAAAUUCUUACAAUACUAUGUGACUUAGAUAUUAUUUAAAGUGAAUGAAAAAAUUUUUCUUAAGUAAAACACCCAAGAUAAAUUCCUAGAUACGUAACUAUUAGUAAGUAUAAUCAUUAAAGUUUGGAUUUCGAUUUAAGUAAAAUUAUAUUAAGACAACUGUUUUAUAACGAGCUGAAGAAACAUGAUAAAAAUCAUUGUACUUAAUUUCCUUGAAAAAUAAUGUCAUUGUUCUCAAUAAGUUUAAAUAAUAACUUUACUAUAGCACAUUUUUUUUUUAAAUAAUUUAAAUAAUGCUCAUUUAUUUUCAUGAACACAAUACAAAUAGAAAUAAAAUUUAUAAUAUUAUCCUAAAUUAUUGUUUCCUAAAAAUCAUUGUGAUAUAGAAAUAUCUUAACUUAUAAAAGAGUCGUAAAGAUUUUAGCAGACCAACUAAGAGAACAUGAAUGCUACUCUAUUGCACCAAACUAUAAUGAUAAGAAAUAAUAUAGAAAACUAUUUAAAAAAAUUCCGGAAAUUUGGCUUUAAAAAAUGUUACUAGUUGUUUUAAACUAUUCUACCGGGUUUCAUUGUAACUACAAAAAUAAUUAAAACGUACUCUAUCCACUAAAUAAUGAUGUAAUAAUUCAAUUUUUACAAGUCGUCCAAACUUAACUACUAAUAAUAUGUAUAUUGAAAUAUAUAAAAUGAAAAGUUGAAUGAUUUUAUUUAUCA